rfam:Paraglaciecola psychrophila 170 chromosome, complete genome.
GGAGGGGUACCCAAGCGGUCAACGGGAUCAGACUGUAAAUCUGACGGCUCAGCCUUCGCAGGUUCGAAUCCUGCCCCCUCCA